rnacentral:rRNA from 1 species
UACGAGGGGGGCAAGCGUUGUUCGGAAUUAUUGGGCGUAAAGGGUGCGUAGGCGGCUUGUUAAGUAGGGUGUGAAAUCCCCCGGCUCAACCGGGGAAUUGCGCCCUAAACUGGCGAGCUGGAGUGAGAUAGGGGUGUGUGGAACUUCCAGUGGAGCGGUGAAAUGUGUUGAUAUUGGAAGGAACGCCAGUGGCGAAAGCGACACACUGGGUCUCAACUGACGCUGAGGCACGAAAGCCAGGGGAGCAAACGGG